AAAAAGGGUCGGUUGGCUAUGCAUGUCACGUACAUCUUUUAAUUGAUGGAUGUUGUAUGAUUAUAUGGACAUAUGGCCGACAUAAUUUAUGAAUGCUAUUGGGUUGGCUUGCUCAGUUGCUUGGCUAACCCUC